UAGUCCACGCCCUAAACGAUGAAUACUCGAUGUUUGCGAUAUACAGUAAGCGUCUAAGCGAAAGCGUUAAGUAUUCCACCUGGGGAGUACGUCCGCAAGGAUGAAACUCAAAGAAAUUGGCGGGGUCCGCACAAGCGGUGGAUUAUGUGGUUUAAUUCGAUGAUACGCGAGGAACCUUACCAGGGCUAGAAUGCUAGUGGAAUAUACCAGAAAUGGUAUAGCUUUUCGGAGCUGCUAGCAAGGUGCUGCAUGGUUGUCGUCAGCUCGUGCCGUGAGGUGUUGGGUUAAGUCCCGCAACGAGCGCAACCCCUAUCGUUAGUUACCAUCAUUAAGUUGGGGACUCUAGCGACACUGCCUGCGCAAGCAGAGAGGAAGGAGGGGAUGACGUCAAAUCAUCAUGGCCUUUAUGCCCUGGGGCUACACACGUAAUACAAUGGGUAAGGACAAAGAGCAGCCAACUGGGUGACAGGU
rnacentral:rRNA from 1 species